rnacentral:sRNA from 1 species
CAAUAGCCCUGAUGGCAGCGAAAAUCCCUUUUGGGCAGAGGUAAAUUGUUUACACGUGUUAUUCCCAAAAGGAUUGCAGCGGACAGCAGGACGGAAC